UCCUCAUCCUCCAUAAAUUGCACAGCACACAUCUAAAUAUUUGGGUUGAACAGUUCUGGAGCAGUGUUGUAAAUACAAAUUAACCAUUGAUUUCUAAUUGUUUCCUCUUUUGGAAGGCCAAACAAAGUAGUUUCGCUUUCACAACGAAACACACAGCAACUUCACAACAUGGUGGCGGCAACAGAGAGAAUCAAAGGUUACGCCUUCUUUCUUUGUGUAAACAUUUGGGCAGUGUUAUGCAAAUCUUCCCACAUCAUGACAUAGACAUGUGGGGGCAUGUAAGAAUUAGCCGUUUUAGGUAGGCGUGGACUCUUAACUUUUAUAAAGAAUAUCUCUUUGGAUUUGAGACUUUAGUCUUUGCAACUUUACAGAUCUUAUUUAUGCACCAAGAGCUUGUAACACUCCAAAGAGAAAGGAAAAAUUUAAAUCACAUCAUAUGACCCCUUUAAAUUAUUGUAUGAGUACACAGGGAUGGUUAUUAAAGUGUAAGUGUAUAAGAAGUUGAACAAAAGAUUCAGUGUCAUACAGCAAUGACAUCCAUCUCUCGGAUUUGUAAUUAACCUAAAUACAACAUUCCUUUCAUAACAGCACUUUGGGGGCCUGUGUGUGUGUGUUUUGAUGAAUGUGUGUAAAUGUUUUGUCCUGUUGCUGGAACAUUUCUUGGCUGCUGGGGAGGAUGUCAUUACAGUGGUAGGAACAUCUGAUUGCUCAACUGAUAGAAACUCCCUGCUGGAUCCUGUAAUAUGUAGUUAUAUGAUAUGUCAGGAGCAGACAGUAGUAUAAUUGUCCAGCACUGAGUUUGCUGAUGGGAAAGCUGGAUUAAUUCCAGUCCAGGUGCCCCUUGAGACCAGAACUGAGACAGGUAGUUAUGGUCGGUGUCUCUUGACAGAUUGCCAGGGCCUGGGCUAAAUGGGCAUUUUCAGGCAGCAGGAUUGUUAUGUAUUUGUGCAUACACAUCCGCACAAUCUGAUGAAUGAAUGGACACACAUGGGGUGGGCAUUAUGAUCUAAAUCUUAUUCACGAUAAUAAAACAUAUUGCAGUACAGUAAUUUUAUUUAUUUAAUAGGACAAAUACAAUAAACCAAAGAUACAAAUGACAAAAAACAUUGCUUUAAAUUUUUCCAAGUACAGUAAGUCUAGCAUUCAGGUAAGAAAUACUACAGAAAAUGAAUGACCAAAUGUAAAAUAGAACAAUGCAUAGUCUUCACUCUUCUGAAAUAAAUAUACACUGAUUCUACUCAAGUGCACUUUUUCAUCAGCGCAGGUUCCGGAUGUAUUUUUUCCAAAGGGUUUUUAAAAAUGUCUUUGUUAAAGCAUAAUAAGCCAUGAACCAAGCCAACCAGUUACGACGAGAAUCACAACAUUACAACCUUUUUUUUUUUGAAGGAAAAAGGUAAAUGAAAAUUGGACAAAAAGAAAAAGGUACAAGACUGUGUACUUAAUGGCUUUAGUGAGAGAAAGAACUAUAAAAGACGUUGUGAGAUGAGAUGGGCUCCUUCCUGCUCGUGUCCUACAGGCACUCAAAGUGCAGAGCGGUAUUGACUUUUGUAGGGAAACGUAAAUAAACUUCACUUAGUUACUAAAACUUUCUGUUGCUUUUCCAUUGUUUUGUUAUUGGCAGGGGUGCACAUCAUUUUUUUCAGCCUGGUUCUCAUAAGAGAACCUGGAGAUUUGG
rnacentral:lncRNA from 1 species